rnacentral:rRNA from 1 species
AUUGAACGCUGGCGGAAUGCUUUACACAUGCAAGUCGAACGGCAGCAUAGGUGCUUGCACCUGAUGGCGAGUGGCGAACGGGUGAGUAAUAUAUCGGAACGUGCCCAGUCGUGGGGGAUAACGUAGUGAAAAUUACGCUAAUACCGCAUACGAUCUAAGGAUGAAAGCGGGGGAUCGCAAGACCUCGCGCGAUUGGAGCGGCCGAUAUCAGAGUGUGUAGUUGGGGAGGUAAAGGCUCACCAAGCCAACGAUCUGUAGCUGGUAUGAGAGGACGACCAGCCACACGGGGACUGAGACACUGCCCAGACUCCUACGGGAGGCAGCAGUGGGGAAUUUUGUACAAUGGACGCAAGUCUGAUCCAGCCAUUCCGCGUGCAGGACGAAGGCCUUCGGGUUGUAAACUGCUUUUGUACGGAACGAAAAGGUUUCUAUUAAUACUAGGGGCUCAUGACGGUACCGUAAGAAUAAGCACCGGCUAACUACGUGCCAGCCGCCGCUGUAA